CUCUGAUUCAGCGGCGGACGGGUGAGUAAUGCCUAGGAAUCUGCCUGAUAGUGGGGGACAACGUUUCGAAAGGAACGCUAAUACCGCAUACGUCCUACGGGAGAAAGCAGGGGACCUUCGGGCCUUGCGCUAUCAGAUGAGCCUAGGUCGGAUUAGCUAGUUGGUGAGGUAACGGCUCACCAAGGCGACGAUCCGUAACUGGUCUGAGAGGAUGAUCAGUCACACUGGAACUGAGACACGGUCCAGACUCCUACGGGAGGCAGCAGUGGGGAAUAUUGGACAAUGGGCGAAAGCCUGAUCCAGCCAUGCCGCGUGUGUGAAGAAGGUCUUCGGAUUGUAAAGCACUUUAAGUUGGGAGGAAGGGCAUUAACCUAAUACGUUAGUGUUUUGACGUUACCGACAGAAUAAGCACCGGCUAACUUCGUGCCAGCAGCCGCGGUAAUACGAAGGGUGCAAGCGUUAAUCGGAAUUACUGGGCGUAAAGCGCGCGUAGGUGGUUUGUUAAGUUGAAUGUGAAAGCCCCGGGCUCAACCUGGGAACUGCAUCCAAAACUGGCAAGCUAGAGUAUGGCAGAGGGUGGUGGAAUUUCCUGUGUAGCGG
rnacentral:rRNA from 1 species